rnacentral:lncRNA from 1 species
AAAUAAGAAACGAAUCCAAAUGAGAAUGCUCUCUACACUGUAAGGUGCUCCGCAGCUAUAUGAUUAUGAGGGAGUACUAAAAGAUCAGUUGAUAUCAGAAAGCUAAAUCUAAAAUGCUGAUCUACUGUUUUAUCCACUUCCAACUUGCUUAUGAGUGUCCCUCCGACCUUGAAUCACACUGGAUGCAUUUGUUUUAUUCUUCCUUUUUCAUGAUCUUUUAGAUUCAGCCAUUACAAUUGCUUACGUCAAGUGGUUGGAUGUGUUUAGCUGCAGAAUCAACACAUGAGACACAGUGACCUAAUCUCCACUACCACGUGCCAGUUCACAUGAAAAAUCCAAGGGCACGCUGAUACAGACAGCCCAGCACAGAUGGGACUGAUCCCCACAGUCAACAGUGAAAGUCGGCACGAGCACCAGAUAACAGUCGUCUACUCACAGGUAACGUGCAUCCUGAACCACCGAUGGCAGACGGUAUUUUUCCAAAGACAACUGCAACAAUAACUCCCAUUUCACGUGCUCUUCUGCGAUGUGACCUGUCAUGACUCCAUCAGCAAUGGAGAAUCCAUAGAUAUUUGUAUGUCACCCUCCCCUUGAAUCUGGGUGAGCCUUUCACUGCUUUGGCCAAGAGAGUGUGGUCAGAGUGACGGUAUGGGUCCCCACAGGUGAUUCAGCUUCUGCUUUGUUUGCUGGGAACACUUGCAUUUGGAUCCCUGAGGCUGCCAUGCUGGGAGGAAGCCAGACCCCACGCAGAGGACGCACGCAGGGGCUCGGGUCUGUGCUCAUCACGGCAUCUUAGCCCGGGUGCCAGGUGUGGGAGGGAGGCCACCCCAGAGGACUCCAGCCUCCAGCCUUUGCAGCAGCCUCAAGUGUGAAGCCUUCUUAGCUGAGAUCUCAGACAUCACGGAGCAGAGUCAACACAUCCAAAUUCCUGAUCCACAUAAUCUGUGACCAGAGUAAAAACGAUUGUUUUAAGCUGCUAUAUUUUCAGAUCGUUUAUUAUGAAGUUAACUGGAACGCUUUCUUUCAAGGAGAAAGUUCUAUUAUUUUAAACCUUUUCUGGAGUGAACAUAUGAAAAAAAUUGUUUUUUGAUGAACAUAAAAUAUGGGCCUUCUUCACAAUAAUUCACGGGAGUAACUUGAAAAAUAGACAUUUCAAAUUAUAUGUAUUUUUAUGAGCUGAUGGGCGAGGCCUGGAACUGGC